rnacentral:misc_RNA from 1 species
AAGUAAGCUGCCAGCCAUUCUACGGAGACACGCCAUGCUGCAAUCCAUCCACUCAGUGCUUCAAGCUCUUGCCGGCGUUCCUCGCCUGGAGCGCGCUGCGGCUGUGCGGAUCGCAUCGGUGAACACACGUCCGCAGCUCAACACUUAUUAUGGGUAUUGGUUUAGCCACUGGCGCGCCUGAUACCCAUCCGGCGCCCACUUCAAGGGGACGCCAACCAGAGAAUUCUCUACCCCCGGUCGGCUACCCGACCGGGGG